ACUCAAAUGAAUUGACGGGGGCCCGCACAAGCGGUGGAGCAUGUGGUUUAAUUCGACGCAACGCGAAGAACCUUACCCAGACUUGACAUUGAUGGAAUCCUCUUGAAAGAGAGGAGUGCCCUUCGGGGACCUGAAAACAGGUGCUGCAUGGCUGUCGUCAGCUCGUGUCGUGAGAUGUUGGGUUAAGUCCCGCAACGAGCGCAACCCUUGUCGUUAGUUGCCAUCAGGUAAUGCUGGGCACUUUAGCGAGACUGCCGGUGUCAAACCGGAGGAAGGUGGGGAUGACGUCAAGUCCUCAUGGCCUUUAUGUCUGGGGCUACACACGUGCUACAAUGGCAACUACAAACCGCUGCAAACCCGUGAGGGGGAGCAAAUCGGAAAAAAGUUGUCUCAGUUCGGAUUGGAGUCUGCAACUCGACUUCAUGAAGUCGGAAUCGCUAGUAAUCGUGGAUCAGCAUGCCACGGUGAAUACGUUCCCGGGCCUUGUACACACCGCCCGU
rnacentral:rRNA from 1 species